AUUGAACGCUGGCGGCAGGCCUAACACAUGCAAGUCGAGCGGAUGAAGGGAGCUUGCUCCUGGAUUCAGCGGCGGACGGGUGAGUAAUGCCUAGGAAUCUGCCUGGUAGUGGGGGAUAACGUCCGGAAACGGGCGCUAAUACCGCAUACGUCCUGAGGGAGAAAGUGGGGGAUCUUCGGACCUCACGCUAUCAGAUGAGCCUAGGUCGGAUUAGCUAGUUGGUGGGGUAAAGGCCUACCAAGGCGACGAUCCGUAACUGGUCUGAGAGGAUGAUCAGUCACACUGGAACUGAGACACGGUCCAGACUCCUACGGGAGGCAGCAGUGGGGAAUAUUGGACAAUGGGCGAAAGCCUGAUCCAGCCAUGCCGCGUGUGUGAAGAAGGUCUUCGGAUUGGAAAGCACUUUAAGUUGGGAGGAAGGGCAGUAAGUUAAUACCUUGCUGUUUUGACGUUACCAACAGAAUAAGCACCGGCUAACUUCGUG
rnacentral:rRNA from 1 species